UACGAAGGGGGGCGAGCGUUUGUUCGGAAUUACUGGGCGUAAAGCGUGCGCAGGCGGCUUCUCAAGUCAGGGGUGAAAGCCCAGAGCUCAACUCUGGAAUUGCCUUUGAGACUGAGUGGCUUGAGUACGAGAGAGGUGAGUGGACUUCCCAGUGUAGCGGUGAAAUGCGUAGAUAUCGGGAGGAACACCAGUGGCGAAGGGCGGCGACCCUGGACGGACAACUGACGCUGAGACGCGAAAGCGUGGGGAGCAAACAGGG
rnacentral:rRNA from 1 species